UUACGGCCACAUCACGUUGAAACACCGAUUCUCUUACGAUCACCGAAGUUAAGCAACGUCGAGCCUGGUCAGUACCUAGAUAGGUGAUCGUUUGAGAAUACAAGGU